rnacentral:rRNA from 1 species
AGCGAACGCUGGCGGCAGGCUUAACACAUGCAAGUCGAGCGGGCAUCUUCGGGUGUCAGCGGCGGACGGGUGAGUAACGCGUGGGAACGUGCCUUCUGGUUCGGAAUAACUCAGGGAAACUUGAGCUAAUACCGGAUACGCCCUUUUUGGGGAAAGGUUUACUGCCGGAAGAUCGGCCCGCGUCUGAUUAGCUAGUUGGUGGGGUAACGGCCUACCAAGGCGACGAUCAGUAGCUGGUCUGAGAGGAUGAUCAGCCACACUGGGACUGAGACACGGCCCAGACUCCUACGGGAGGCAGCAGUGGGGAAUAUUGGACAAUGGGCGCAAGCCUGAUCCAGCCAUGCCGCGUGAGUGAUGAAGGCCUUAGGGUUGUAAAGCUCUUUUAUCCGGGACGAUAAUGACGGUACCGGAGGAAUAAGCCCCGGCUAACUUCGUGCCAGCCGCCGCCGUAA